rnacentral:rRNA from 1 species
UACGUAGGGUGCAAGCGUUACUCGGAAUUACUGGGCGUAAAGCGUGCGCAGGCGGUUUUGUAAGUCUGUCGUGAAAUCCCCGGGCUUAACCUGGGAAUGGCGAUGGAGACUGCAAGGCUAGAGUUUGGCAGAGGGGGGUAGAAUUCCACGUGUAGCAGUGAAAUGCGUAGAGAUGUGGAGGAACACCGAUGGCGAAGGCAGCCCCCUGGGUCAAAACUGACGCUAAUGCACGAAAGCGUGGGGAGCAAACAGG